rnacentral:lncRNA from 1 species
GGGAGGGCAGGCUGGAGCAGGCGCGGGCCCUCGGGGUCCGGGGCUCAGCGGGGCGUAGACGGACAGAGGGUUGCCCGGGGCUGGCUCUGCGGCCAGGGGCAGGUGGGCAGCACGGUCCGUGGACGCGGCUCCAGUCCCGCGGUGCGCAGGAAGGAGGGAUGGGUGGACGAAGCAGCAGUGUGAAGCUCGGGGUGUGAUGCUAUAAAUAUGCAGGCCUGUCUUUUAUGUGGGAACUCCGAUUUCCUUUCUCUUAAAAGCUCAGAACAAGGAAGACAGUG